rnacentral:lncRNA from 1 species
UUUUUUUUUUUUUUUUAUAAUUAGAAUAAAUAGAUGGUUUUAAUUAAUUUGGAGUAACGUUUAUGAUUUGAAUGAAGAAAAUGAGAAACUGACAUUUACAAUGGCAUUGGGUUUGUGGUUGUGUGUACUCAAACGUUGCGUCUACUCUCUCCGUCAAGGCAUUGAGGCCAAUUAUUCACUAAUUCAUUGUAAUCUAUUUGGAAAAAAAAUAUCAGUGUGGGUUGGGAUCUAGUAAUUCACCUCAAUGCACUCUUAAUUGGAUGGAUGAAAAAAAACUAGUAAUUAUUUGGAUAUAAAGGAACUUGUGAGUAACAAGUUAUAAAUUCGAAAUGGAUCCGGGUGACUGUUGAUUAUAUACUUUGCUCUUACGGUAUACUUUCAGCACAUCUAAUUUAUGUUAUAUGAUAAUAAAUUUAAGAGUAAGAGCAACUCAUGCACCGAGUAUAUUUAAUGAAUAAAUAAAGUAAAUACACAAUAUCAAAUUAAACAGUCAAACUUGAGAGUCAAUUUACGUAAAUUAAGAUUUAUAGGAAGAGAAAUUGUAAACUCUGGCUUUUACAGAGCCUCAGCUACCCAUGUGUAGCUACAUCCUCUCCUCAAAUUAAUCACUUGAAUAUUUUCACUAUCUUCUCAAAUUCUACCAACUUCUUAUUUUCACCUCUUACAAAUGCUAGUUUAAGCUACAACGUGGUUUCUAUAGCUUUUAUUAUAAAUCCAAGAAUAUAAAAGUUCAAUUUUUUUUCCUCAGAAUGAUAAAAAAAAAAAAAAUACAAGACGAAAAUUCAAGAAACUAAAAAUGAGUUUUCAAAAUUUGACUUAACAAGUAUUUGAUUUCAAGAGUUUUGCUCACAAUAAUUCUUUCAAAAUAAAGAAGGGUUUUCAAAAAUCUUAAUUAAUCAUUUUCUUAUUUCAGAACUUAAAAUCCUAAUUCCUACUCCAUUUGUUUUGCACUUACAUAAUAAAUAUUAUACUUAUAUAUUUUUCCAAAAACACACGCAUGAUUAAAUUAAAUAUGUUACACGCAUAAUAGCAAUGUAUACCAAGUCUUACACAUAUAUACACACACACACACACACACACACACAUUCCUUGCACUUGUACACACGCAGCUCACGCUUACGCACAUGCUGAUACACACGCCCACAUUCGUUUUAUACAUAUAUAUAUAUAUAUACAGAGUACACAACAUACGGAUUUAGUUAAUCAUAAUUAUACACUCGCAUAUAUAUAUAUAUAUAUAUAUAUAUGCAUACACACACCUACACAUACGUACACCAUUUAAAUAUAUAAACACAAUUACAUAACAACAUAGAUAUAUUUAUGCACAUGCACUUAUAUGCACAAUUUAUGUAUGUAUUAAUAUACACUCACACACCCAUAUUUACAUACACACACACACUAAAUAGUGUAUAUUAUACAUAUAUAUUAUAUAUACACGGACAUAGAGAUUACUCAUGAUUAUACAUAAACCAUUAUCCAUCUAUAUUUACUCACACAAACACACAUUUUAUAUACGUAUAUCUACACAUACACUAAUAGUAUGUCUUCGUACAAAAUUAACCUAAAUCUUACCUAAAGUUGAUCGAAAAAGGUGUAAUGGGUUCGAAUCUUAGUCCUCACUAAAUCGCAGCUACUGCUCAAAUAUUUUACUUGUUUACAAAUAGAAAAUAGAUGCGUUAAACUAUAAAUAUUCUUAUAAAUAAACAUAAUACGAAAGACGAAUUGAUUUUUACCUUGGACACGUGGUCCCCGUUGCUGGAGUCACCAUGUAC